rnacentral:rRNA from 1 species
UACGUAGGUGGCAAGCGUUGUCCGGAAUUAUUGGGCGUAAAGCGCGCGCAGGUGGUUCCUUAAGUCUGAUGUGAAAGCCCACGGCUCAACCGUGGAGGGUCAUUGGAAACUGGGGAACUUGAGUGCAGAAGAGGAAAGUGGAAUUCCAAGUGUAGCGGUGAAAUGCGUAGAGAUUUGGAGGAACACCAGUGGCGAAGGCGACUUUCUGGUCUGUAACUGACACUGGCGCGAAAGCGUGGGGAGCAAACAGG